rnacentral:rRNA from 1 species
CAUGCAAGUCGAGCGGUAAGGCCCUUCGGGGUACACGAGCGGCGAACGGGUGAGUAACACGUGGGUGAUCUGCCUUGCACUCUGGGAUAAGCCUGGGAAACUGGGUCUAAUACCGGAUAUGACCUUUGGUUGCAUGACCAGGGGUGGAAAGAUUUAUCGGUGCAAGAUGAGCCCGCGGCCUAUCAGCUUGUUGGUGGGGUAAUGGCCUACCAAGGCGACGACGGGUAGCCGGCCUGAGAGGGCGACCGGCCACACUGGGACUGAGACACGGCCCAGACUCCUACGGGAGGCAGCAGUGGGGAAUAUUGCACAAUGGGCGGAAGCCUGAUGCAGCGACGCCGCGUGAGGGAUGACGGCCUUCGGGUUGUAAACCUCUUUCGACUCCGACGAAGCGAAAGUGACGGUAGGAGUAUAAGAAGCACCGGCCAACUACGUGCCAGCAGCCGCGGUAAUACGUAGGGUGCGAGCGUUGUCCGGAAUUACUGGGCGUAAAGAGCUUGUAGGCGGCUUGUCGCGUCGAUCGUGAAAACUCGGGGCUCAACCCCGAGCUUGCGGUCGAUACGGGCAGGCUUGAGUACUUCAGGGGAGACUGGAAUUCCUGGUGUAGCG